rnacentral:rRNA from 1 species
AUUGAACGCUGGCGGCAUGCCUUACACAUGCAAGUCGAACGGCAGCAUGGGUGCUUGCACCUGAUGGCGAGUGGCGAACGGGUGAGUAAUGCAUCGGAACGUACCCGGAAGUGGGGGAUAACGUAGCGAAAGUUACGCUAAUACCGCAUAUUCUGUGAGCAGGAAAGCGGGGGAUCGCAAGACCUCGCGCUUCCGGAGCGGCCGAUGUCGGAUUAGCUAGUUGGCGGGGUAAAGGCCCACCAAGGCAACGAUCCGUAGCGGGUCUGAGAGGAUGAUCCGCCACACUGGGACUGAGACACGGCCCAGACUCCUACGGGAGGCAGCAGUGGGGAAUUUUGGACAAUGGGGGCAACCCUGAUCCAGCCAUGCCGCGUGAGUGAAGAAGGCCUUCGGGUUGUAAAGCUCUUUCGGCUGGGAAGAAAAUCGCAUCUCCUAAUACGGGGUGUGGAUGACGGUACCAGCAUAAGAAGCACCGGCUAACUACGUGCCAGCAGCCGCGGUAAUACGUAGGGUG